CCCCUUUUGGCCCCGCCCCCGGCCCGCCCUCCGCUGUUUCCCUCUGCUCUUUCUUUCUCUAUUUUUUCCUCCUCAGCGCUUUCUACCCAGAAUCCCUUGCGAAAACCCUACAAUGAAAUUUAAGAAGUUUUUUAGGUUUCGGCGCCAUUUUCGAUUGGACUGAGAACUGGAACUGAAGCUGAUGUAAAUGUGACGCACUCGGGACAGUUUUGACAACCAUAGAACUACAUAGAAAGGAGAAGCGGGAUGGCGCUCUGAUCCUGAUAAAACAACGUGAUGACCGAGCAGCUAGUGAGACACUAAACCGGUGAUGGUCUGGUAGGACAUCUGUUCCUGGAAAGGAAUUCUCUGGACUGAGGUAGCAGCACAUCAUGGUUUGUAGAAACAAGGAGAUACAGACCAUUCUGAGCUGCCUCUUCACGUCAGAGAUGAGUCGCCCUUCAGAUCCCGGUACAUGAAGAAACAGACUAUUAUUUUUUCUGUAUGUGACCAAUUACAGUUUAGUGCGUAAGAGCUAUUGAUGUUUAAACCUGGAUUAAAAGAUCUUAAAGGGAACCUGUCAUGCUGAAUGUGCAGUCUGAUCUGUCAGCAUCAUAUUUCAUAGAAGGAAGGGGGUCUGCACUUAAAGGGGUAGU